AAAGAGUGCGUAACAGCUCACUAGUCGAGCGGUCCUGCAUGGAUAAUACGCGGGCAUAAGCAUAUAACCGAAGCUAUGGGAUUGUAGAUGAUACAAUCGGUAGGAGAGCAUUCCAUUCAGCAUAGAAGCAGUACCGUGAGGUAUUGUGGAGCGGAUGGAAAAGCAAAUGUAGGCAUAAGUAACGAUAAUGCGGGUGAGAACCCCGCACGCCGAAAGAUCAAGGAUUCCCCGGCAAUGUCAAUCAUCCGGGGGUAAGUCGGAUCCUAAGGGUAAGCCGAGUGGCGAUCCCGAUGGUAAACAGGUUAAUAUUCCUGUACUGAUCAUAACUGCGAUGCAGCGACGCAGAGGUGACACUGCUGCGUACUGACGGAAUAGUACGUUGAAACCCGUAUUCUUUGAUACCGGUAGUGAAGCACGCCGGUAGAGAUGAAAGGUGAUAGUACCGCAAUGCUUCGGUUGCGCGGAUAAUGCAGGUAAGCUGACUGCCAAGAAAACCUGCUAAGCUUCAGGUAAUGAUCAUCCGUACUGUAAACGGACACACGUGAUCAGGUAGAAAAUACUAAGGCGCUCGAGAGAUUCAUGGUUAAGGAACUAGGCAAAAUGGUCCUGUAACUUCGGGAUAAAGGACGCUCUUGUGAAAGAGCCGCAGAUAAUAGGCCCAGGCGACUGUUUACCAAAAACACAUGGCUAUGCUAAUUCGCAAGAAGAUGUAUAUGGCCUGACACCUGCCCGGUGCCGGAAGGUUAAGAGGAGAGCUCAGAGGUAACUCGAAGGUUUGAAUUGAAGCCCCGGUAAACGGCGGCCGUAACUAUAACGGUCCUAAGGUAGCGAAAUUCCUUGUCGGGUAAGUUCCGACCUGCACGAAUGGUGUAACGAUCUGGGUACUGUCUCAACCAUGAGCUCGGUGAAAUUGUAGUUCCGGUGAAGAUGCCGGAUACCCGCAACGGGACGGAAAGACCCCGUGAACCUUUACUGCAGCUUUGCAUUGAUUUUGGGUAACAGAUGUGUAGGAUAGGUCGGAGGCUUUGAUGCUGCGUCGUCAGGCGUAGAGUAGCCGUCGUUGAAAUACGACCCUUUUGUUAUCUGAGGUCUAAUCCCGUUAGGGAGACAUUGCAUGGUGGGUAGUUUGACUGGGGUGGUCGCCUCCAAAAGUGUAACGGAGGCUUCUCAAGGUACCCUCAAGGCGUUUGGUAAUCGUCUGCAGAGUGCAAUGGCAUAAGGGUGCUUGACUGUGAGACCGACACGUCGAUCAGGUUGGAAACAAGAGCAUAGUGAUCCGGUGGUUCCGCAUGGAAGGGCCAUCGCUCAAAGGAUAAAAGGUACUCCGGGGAUAACAGGCUGAUCGCUCCCAAGAGCUCAUAUCGACGGAGCGGUUUGGCACCUCGAUGUCGGCUCGUCACAUCC
rnacentral:rRNA from 1 species